rnacentral:tRNA from 1 species
GUUUCCAUAGUACAGUGGUUAUCACGUUCGCCUAACACGUGAAAGGUCCCCGGUUCUAAACUGGGCGGAAACA